rnacentral:lncRNA from 1 species
CUUCAGAGUGUAACUGAAACGCGCUCUUCUCGGAUCUCAAGCCGCUGGGUUCUCGACCGGAAGUCACGCCAUCUGCUCUCGCGUUGUCCAGUUUAACGCGGACACAGAUUUUGGGACUUCUCGGUCUCCAUACUCCUGUGAGCCAAUUCCGAGAUUUGCGGUCAGCAACCUGGAGAACCGUGGAGCCGAUGAUCUAAUUUCCGGUCGGAAACGCAGCAGGGUUGAGAUCUGAGAAGAACCGUUUAUUCAGUUCCACUCUGAAGUUUUUACUUCUUCUCAGUCUACAUAAUUUGGCUGAGUCCUCAAAUAAAAAAUUGAUGCUCACAACCAGAAGGACCCACAACGAGAAUAUACAACUAUGUACUAAGGGGCUUUGGGGAGAAGAGGAAGAAAAAAAAUUAAUAUCCCCCCAGUACAUAGUUGCAUAUAUUUUAGUUGUGGGUCCUUCUAGUUGUGGCACGUGGGAUGCUGCCUCAACGUGGCCUGAUGAGUGAUGCCAUGUCCGUGCCCAGGAUCCGAACCAGCGAAACCCUGGGCCGCGGUAGCAGAGUGCGCAAACUUAACCACUCGGCCAUGGAGCCGGCCCCCAGAUCCUUCAGUUUCACUGAUGAUGGCUAUCAGCAUAGACUCUCUGUCUGAGGGUCAUCACAUUCCUAAGGAACUCAAAAGAACAAAGUUAUCAUCUUAUCACAGCUGGGAGCAAAGGCCUUCAUUUGUUAGAGGCGAAGAAGGUGAGCAGAAUAAACAUUAACUUAUUCUAACUGGCCAAGUCUGCAGGAGAUGCAAUAGGUCUGAGAGACUGAAAUAGGAGUAGAACCACCACCUAGAGAGAAUUGUGAUGCUCAACAUUACAUAACUCCUUAGAGCUAGAUCUGGAACUAGAGUUUUUUCAAGUUGUACUUUUAUCUCAGACAAAUAAAUAUUGAAAUUAUUUAAUUCAUUACUUUGUCUUUAUCUCUUUUAAGAUCCAGUAUGCAGUAAACAUUCAAAUUUGUAUAAAAGUGUGGUACACAAAUUUCCCUGAAAAUCUUUAGAAUGUCUCAAGUUCUAGAUAUAAAACUACCAUAGAGUCAGACUCUACUGAACCACUGGAAAUAAUGGUGAUAGAAAACAGUUAUUGAGGAAAUGGGAUGGAUUCAUAACAUUUCUCUGAAUCAGAAUGUUAGAAUAUGUUCCUUUAAAAUGUUCUUUAUUUGAAAAACUGCCUGAUACAGAAGAAGUUCUUUGUCAAGUAACGUAACAGGGAAAAAGAAUUUUGCAGCUGUGGGUCUUUGAGAAUACCUGUCUAUUAAUAUAUAUUAUUAAUAUAUAUGACAUAUACAUACAUAUAUGUGUAUGUCUACAUAUCCUAUUGGUGGUGUAACAAAUUACCACAAUCUUAGUGGCUUAAAAAACACAAAUUUAUUAUCUUACACUUCUGAAGUUCAGAAGUCUAAAUUGUAUCUCAGGGCUGAGUUCCUUCUGGAGACUCUUAGGAAGAAUCCAUUUCCUUACCUUUUCCAACUAUUGCAGGUUCUCCUCAUUGCUUGACUCAUGGCCCACAUCAAAUUGCCUUUUCUCUCUCUACUCCUGCUUAACCUCACAUUGUUUUGACUCUGACUCCUUCUGUGUUCCUUUUAUAAGGAUCCUCAUGGUUACAUAGAGCCCCCUGAGCUAGUUCCACAUAAUCUCCCUGUCUCAAGAUCCUUAACCUGAUCAAAUCUGUAAAGGUUUUUUUGCCCAAUAAGAACAUUCACAGGUUCCAGGGAUUAGGAUGUGCACAUCUUUGGUGUGACCAUUAUUCAAUCUCUCUCUCUGUCCUAUAUAUUGUUAAGACACAGUUCUCUACUUAAUCUUCUGUCUGUCUCAUUCCAAUCAUGUUAAAGGGCUCCUUUCAGUUAACUCAGCUAAAACAAUGCAAACCUGAAGUUAGGCUAACAUAUCUUGAGGGUCCAAAACUUUCAAGUCAGUUGAUUAACAUAU